UGCUUGGCAACGCAAGUUCUGACAGUUGGCUCUUGGGUAGCUAGCUAGCAGAGUUGUUUACUUGCGACGUUUAAUUUUCUCUGGCUAAAUUAGCCCAGCAUAGUUAUUCAAUUCAGUUAUCUAGGUUGCCAUACACGAGCAGUACUGCAAAAUGCAUUGAGCAGCUGCUGGCUCAUAUGGACCAUAUGUCAAAGUGGAUUAACAGUGCUGUUCUUGCUGUUCAGUGGAAGAGUUUCCAACCCUUAGUGUGGUUAAUGUAUCGGAGUCGACUGAGGGCCAAAAGACCCCUAAAGUGAAGCUGCUUUACAAGACGCUUAGCAAGAAGAAUUUUGCCACAGAUGCCUCUCUAACUCUUCUCUCCAGCCAGACACAAGCCCACCAGCGGGAGCAUAACACAAGUGCAGAUCUUCACGUUCCAGGGUUAAACUCUGUUGACCAUAGUCCUCGUAAUAAACAACACAAGGAAGUAAAGCUCAACACAGCUCAGAUCAAUCAGUUGGCCAGCUGUUCCAGUGCAUCAUGGGGCUCUGGCUCCGUAGUGAUGUGGGUACCCAAUCCCCAACACAUCCCGCAGUGCCAAGCCCGAAACAGGUCACUUGAUUUAUUGUAUUUGAUGUUGAUUGUAUCUUUAUUUUUCAUCAUACUCAGUCACUUUAUGCUGUACUUUUUAUGUUGUAGGCCUAGACCUUGGAAAUUUGCAUCGUUUGAUUACCACAUUACCUUUUUAGGCGUUAAACUUGGCAGAUAUGCAAAUUGCCUUUUUUGAUCACAGGCCUAAAUCUCCCUA
rnacentral:lncRNA from 1 species